rnacentral:rRNA from 1 species
GAUGAACGCUGGCGGCAUGCCUUACACAUGCAAGUCGAACGGCAGCACGGGAGCAAUCCUGGUGGCGAGUGGCGAACGGGUGAGUAAUGUAUCGGAACGUGCCCAGUCGUGGGGGAUAACGCAGCGAAAGCUGUGCUAAUACCGCAUACGACCUACUGAUGAAAGCGGGGGAUCGAAAGACCUCGCGCGAGUGGAUCGGCUGAUAUGAGAUCAGGUAGUUGGUGGGGGAAAGGACCACCAAGCCGACGAUCUGUAGCUGGUCUGAGAGGACGACCAGCCACACUGGAACCGAGACACGGUCCAGACUCCUACGGGAGGCAGCAGUGGGGAAUUUUGGACAAUGGGCGCAAGCCUGAUCCAGCAAUGCCGCGUGCAGGAUGAUGGCCUUCGGGUUGUAAACUGCUUUUGUACGGAACGAAACGGUUCUCUCUAAUACAGGGGGCUAAUGACGGUACCGUAAGAAUAAGCACCGGCUAACUACGUGCCAGCCGCCGCGGUAA